rnacentral:rRNA from 1 species
UACAGGGGGGGCAAGCGUUGUUCGGAAUUACUGGGCGUAAAGGGCUCGUAGGCGGCCGGCUAAGUCCGACGUGAAAUCCUCAGGCUUAACCUGGGAACUGCGUCGGAUACUGGCGGGCUUGAAUCCGGGAGAGGGAUGCGGAAUUCCAGGUGUAGCGGUGAAAUGCGUAGAUAUCUGGAGGAACACCGGUGGCGAAGGCGGCAUCCUGGACCGGCAUUGACGCUGAAUAGCGAAAGCCAGGGGAGCAAACGGG